rnacentral:lncRNA from 1 species
GAAGGUUACCAUUCCAUUCAUUCAACACAUCACAAAAGAAAAAAAAAAUUACAACUCUCUCUUCCUUCUCUUUGAGGUUCGGCCGAGAGCCACAACACACCCACUAUCAUCUUCCAAUUUCAUACUAGCCAAUUUACAUACUUACAAGUGUGAAGGAUCACGUAUAAGGAGGCUCGGUGCUUACGGAUUGCCAAGGACCUCACCACAACGUUAUUAACCACCCAUUUUUCGUCUAGUUUCUUCCCUAGCCACGAGCUAGUAGUAAGUGACUCUAAACAUCUUCUUGUUCAUGUUUAAAGUGGUAACUAGGAUGGAUGUGCGCGUGGUCUCUCUUAUGCUCGUGGAUGUCGCUUGUGUUUGUCUUUAAAUAAAGUGUAAACCUUUUAAGACAAUGUUUUAUGUUAACUCGCGUUGUAAACGCUAACUUAUGAUUUCAAGUUAUGGUAUU